rnacentral:rRNA from 1 species
AGUGAACGUUGGCGGCGUGGAUUAGGCAUGCAAGUCGAGCGAGAACCGUAGCAAUACGGGGACAGCGGCGAAAGGGACAGUAAUGUGUAGGUACCUACCCCGAGGUCUGGGAUAGCUGCGGGAAACUGCAGGUAAUACCGGAUAAUGUCUUCGGACCAAAGGUGUGAUUCCACCUUGGGAGGGGCCUGCAUCCUAUUAGCUAGUUGGCGGGGUAAUGGACCACCAAGGCGACGAUGGGUAGCGGGUGUGAGAGCACGACCCGCGUCAUGGGGACUGAGACACUGCCCAGACACCUACGGGUGGCUGCAGUCGAGGAUCUUCGGCAAUGGGCGAAAGCCUGACCGAGCGACGCCGCGUGCGGGAUGAAGGCCUUCGGGUUGUAAACCGCUGUCGUAGAGGAGGAAAUGCAGGUGGGUUCUCCCAUCUGUUUGACCUAUUCUAGGAGGAAGUACGGGCUAAGUUCGUGCCAGCCGCCGCUGUAA